GAAAUUAAAUUUAAAAUUAUAUCAUAUUGAAAAUAACGUAUUUUAAGAUAAACGAUAUAUUACCUUAUCAGACUUUAAUAUUUGACUAAAUAAUGUAAUAUUUAAACAGUUUGCAAUAAAUCUAUUUAUAUAUUUUUAUUAUAUCUUUACCAAACAUAUUAUGUUAGGUCUGUAAUAUAUGAAUUAUAAAUAACAAAUGGGCUCUAUCCCAUUAUAUUAACCUUAACAUGUUUAUAUUAUCUAAGAUUAAUAUGUGGACAAAACAUCCACUUUAUCCUCUCUCUACUGUCGGUUUCUCAAAAUUGAAGAAUAAGGCGAUCUACAGACAGACGACCUUAGUUUGAUGCUCAUCGGUGAAUCACCUGUUGUAACCAAUGACUUUCGUUCUUUCAAUGAGAUAGAACAUGUUGUGAUGACUUCAAAGAGAGUAAAAACGGAUUCAAAGUUUAAGCCGUAAAAAUUCUGAUGGACACCGAAACUUGAAAGAUUUUAUAUACACGUAAGGAAAAUCAUAUAAGGAGAUUCAGAUGCAAUGAGAACGUUUUUAGCGUAUAUUAGGCCAUAUUGGGAACAUGAAGUAUGUGCUUAAGAGCAGCUUCAUGAAGUAACCUCUGUUUGGUUGGGAGUUUCACCUCUUUGAGUUUUUCCCCGUUGAGCGGAGAUGGGAAGUUGAUGACGCGAACUUGAGGCAGAUAGUUUCGAGUUUAAAGGAUCCAAGAGAUGCUUUGUGGCUUGAUAUUUUCCCUGAAGGCAGAGAUUACAUAGAGGCUAAAUGCCAAAGCUGAACAUGGCUUACCAGUUCUGAACAACCUCCUAUUGUCUUCCAAGAACUAAGCUGCUAACUCGAUGCAGUUUAUGAUGUGAUCAAAGUAUGCAUAAGACUCGUUACUGAACGCGUUCCAGCUAAAAGACCAGCUUCUUCGUGAGUUAUACCCUCGCGGCCAUUUCCCUAACGAAGGAACAGAGAAGGAGUUCAACACAAUGAAGUGCCUCAUAAACUGCUCGGCAGUGAUUGUCUUCACGGUCGAUAUGUUUUUGUGCAGAGCAAUGUAUAUCAGUAACCCAUACUUGUCGCAGCUACAUAUGGAGUUUGUGAAAGCUUUCCAAAUCUGGGAGAAGAUAUAUGUGGCAUUUGAACCGCUUGUGAGCCAAAUCCACCACUCUGAGGUCUAUCACAACUCUGAGGUACAUAUAGAUGAAGAAUGCGAGCUGUGUAAUAAAAAAAAAGUCAAUAGGAGAAUACUCAUACUCUUCAAGUGAAGUACAUAUAGAUGAAGAAUGCGAGCUGUGUAAUAAAAAAAAAGACAAUAGGAGAAUACUCAUACUCUUCACGUGAGAUAUGUUUGUGACAUCUUCCAACACCACUACUAUUCUGUUAUUUGCUUUUUGACUCCGAGCCUGAGAAUUGCCGUUCUCAUCAUUAACUGUUCUAUGUUUCCUUUUCUGAGAUGGUUGACCAUGGGAGACAAUCCCUGUGCCGUUUUCCUUAGGAAGAAUCAUGGAUUAAAUUGACUUAACUCAAUUGUCGUCUAUUGCGAAACCCUUAUUUCUCCCUUUAUAAAUGUUUAACGAAGUAUAGAUUCUAAUAAGGAUUAUAAUUUUUUACGAAGUACAGUUUCUAAUAAGUAAAAACUGAAUCUGCAUUCCAUACGGUAAUAGGAAAACUGGCUACAUAUAUAAUAUAUGUUAACAAUUAAUAAUUUAAAAAUAUUAAAAACUAUUUUGUUCUUAUAUUACUUGUAUUGAAAUGGUAGCAUUAGUUAUUUAUAUAUCUAAAUUUAAGUAUAAUGAUCUUUAUGUUUUUUUUUUUUGCUAUCUCUUUCAACAUUGUUCAAUAGAUAGUUAUAUUUCGGUAUGUCACUAAUUAAAGAUAAAAAAAUUUCAUACGUUGUUAUUGAAUUAUGUUAUUCUAAUCAUAAUGCUUACCAUUUAUAAAACCAAUUAUUUAUUAUAAACCAAUAAGAAAAAAACAAUAAUGAUUUGAAAACAUCACUCCUAAAAAAUAAAGCAUAACGACAAAGUGUGUAUGUAAACACUUAUUAAAAAUUCUAAAAAAUACCAAUAAUAAAGUGGUUGAACUAUAUUGCGCUGAGUUCAGUUCUUCCUUAAGCCUUGCUCAUCACUGCUCAUCUUCUCAAUCUUGAUACUUUUGACAGGGCGCAUCUUUGAAGUCGAGGUGUUAUCUGGAAUAUCAACAAUGUCGUCCACUGAUCGCUUAGAAGGAGUUGCCAUCUUGCUAGAGCUUUCAUCACUGCUGUGGAGAAUUUUGGCUUCGAUCAACCAGGCUGUCUUCCAUGGACGAAUCUCAUCAAGUGAUAAUAUACACAAUACAAUAAUAUAAAAGAGGGAAUUCGCAGAUGGCAUGUAACCUGAUAUUAAAACAAAAUAAGGUAAACCAUCAACAUUAAAUCUAUAAUAGUACAACUGCAUUAGGAAUGGAACUGAUUCUGGAUAGUUAGAAAAAUGUGGGCUACAUGCUGCUUGAUGGUUUCCAAAUGCUGAUUAUUUUAUAACUCUUGAUGUUAUUGAAAAAUUAAAAUUAUUAUAUAUGUUAAAAAAUUAAAAUUUAUAGUCAUAAAUACAUUAACAUAUACAUAAGAUAUUUUUUUUAAAAAAAAAUGUAGUAGCUUAAUGUAAAAUCCCAUUAAAAAGCAAAAAAAAAUUAAUAAAUCAAGAAGCACUAAAAAGUAAAAACAUAACAUAAAUUAAAACUAAAAAUAAAUAACACAGAGAAAAGUAUCAUAGAGUAUAAAUUAUAUCAGCCACUUUUAAUCUUGUUGCCUUCAUCAUUGGUGCAUUGCUUCUUCCUUGAAUAAGUUGUCAUCAUUGGUGCAUUGCUUCUUCCUUGAAUAAGUUGACAUCUGGUGGAGUGACUUGAUUCUCUUCCACAUAAUGUCAUUAAGAUUCCAAACUUUCAUGGCAUUGAAUUUAUCAGCACCACCAAUCAUAUUAUUUUCAUCAUCUGAAAUCCCAAAUUCAUAAGUUUUGCCAACUAUCUCCACAAUCUCAGGUGGUAAAACUUCUUGAUCUUCAAUCUAUUAUAAGAAGUUAUACUAAUUAGUUAACAUUCAGUGGACACGAAUUUAUAUUGUUAUAUUUAAAAAAUAAAUAAUAUAUAACCUCAGCCAAUGAAAGUUUCACGAUUUUUGCUGCUGUAGUUUUCACAAUAAGUUUUGUUUCUGCGUCCAGAAGUGUGAAUUUAGACUCACCAGUCUGAUCCUGCACAAGCAAAUCCAACUUGUACCUGAAUAAAAAUAUACAAUUCAAUUGUAUCGUAUUAGAAAAAGUAUAAUUACAUUUAUAUAACUCAAAAAUGUUAUUAAAAAUAAAUAACCUUGGUGAAACCUUGGUAACAAUACACUGGCAAAAUUCACACCACCAUAUUGGGACAAUCAUUUCAUCAAAUGAAACAGUUGGUUUGAAAACCUUAUUCUUGCAAACCAUACAAUAUAGAUAAUACCAUCCACUGGAGGUAUCAAUAGCAUACACCGUACAGAUUGUUGAAAUUAGUUGAACAAUAUAUGAGAUGAUAGCUUAAGGAGUUGAGAAUGAGAUAAUGUGAAGGCAAAGAGAAGGAGAGCUUGGGAGUGAUCAGGCCGUACAAGGCCGUACCGGCCGUACCAUCCGUACGGUCCGG